rnacentral:rRNA from 1 species
AUUGAACGCUGGCGGCAGGCCUAACACAUGCAAGUCGAGCGGAGCGGCGGACGGGUGAGUAAUGCCUAGGUAUCUGCCUGGUAGUGGGGGAUAACGUCCGGAUACGGGCGCUAAUACCGCACAUUCUCAGACGAGCCUAGGUCGGAUUAGCUAGUUGGUGGGGUAAAGGCUUACCACGGCGACGAUCCGUAACUGGUCUGAGAGGAUGAUCAGUCACACUGGAACUGAGACACGGUCCAGACUCCUACGGGAGGCAGCAGUGGGGAAUAUUGGACAAUGGGCGAAAGCCUGAUCCAGCCAUGCCGCGUGUGUGAAGAAGGUCUUCGGGUUGUAAAGCACUUUAAGUUGGGAGGCGUUACCAACAGAAUAAGCACCGGCUAACUUCGUGCCAGCAGCCGCGGUAAUAC